GAGAGCAUUUCUGUGCAGUUUCUCCAUCAUAUUCCUUUUCCUGCCAGCAGUUUUCUAUUGCUUUUCAGCAGCCUACGGAUUGUGGCGUGUAGAGUAAUUUUGAUAUUUCGAGCUUGUCAUGUCUGGAGUGCGGGCCGAAUCAAGUCAGCAUCAAAUCAGGAUUGGCAUGUCCUCCUCUGAUCUCCGGCAUGCCUUGCCAGCCAAGUGCACAGUUGUCAUUCUCUCUUGAGUAUACGAUGGACCUGGAAGAAGCUCAGGUCAAAAGUGAUGUGAGUAUAAGUGGCACUGGAAAUGGCAAUGGCUAUUAAUGGCUAAUAGUCUAUUAUGAAUAUGAUUAAGCCUUACAUAACCUCCCCCCCACCCCCGUUUUUGUUUAUUUUUUGUUAUAUCUUUAAUUCCAAGUCUGGAUCUUUUUCUAUUGUUAACAGUCUCACCCACUUCUCAGAUAUCUGUUUAUUAUCCGUGUUUUCUUCCAUUGUCCUGUUAAAUGAGAUAUUUUGCUAGGAUGUGCAGUCUAUAAGUACUCUUUAUUUUUUCAUGGAGCUUCAGGUCUGUUCACAUCAAGACAAGUACUGUGCAACUUUGCGUUUCUGAUACCCACUUUUCACAGAUAAGAAAAGAAAUCACACAUAUUUCUGUGUUAUAAAACAGCCAUUCAUAUUUUUGUAUUCACUAUUAUCGCUUUGCAAUAUACACCAAGUCAUAGUUUUAAUGGCAUUGUUUGGUCAUGGUUUGCUAGUGUGAACACGAGUUAAAAUAGAAAUAAAAACCUAUAAAAACAAGGCUCUCUGUGUAUCUCCAGCAGGCUAAGCUAUUUGUGUCUCUGUUGCUGCCAUUAGCAGCUCAGUAGGAGUGCUUUGUUGCUUAUGUUGGCUGUGCCUUUGUUUUGAAGGUAAGUACAGAUAUUAACAUUACAUUUUACACUUCAGGUUGCUUAAUUAAGUAUAUGUCUGUCUUUUCCCUUUUUCCUUUUCCUUGCAGGUUAACUUAACUUUAUUUUUUGUUACAGACUGUACAUAAGCUCCAUGUUCAACUGUCUGUGGAUAUUUUCUUUAUAGACUGGGAAAGACCUUGUAGUAAAACCAGUAAACAUGUGAAAUGCCUGUUACAUUAAAUCUAUACAAACUCUUCACUUUUAAUUAGAAUAUUUUAAUAUUUCUUUUAAAUAAUACAUAUUCUAUAAUUAUGCUGUAAUGUGCUCAGGGUCUGGUGAAGCACUGUCAGUAUCUGGAGAACAUAUUUUGUGGCCUCCAAAUCUGAUUGAUCUCCCAAAGGAUACAUCCACCGAAGACAUAGAAUUUAUCAUGAGUUCUGAUCUAAGCAAUAAUGUUAAGGAAGUGAGGACAGCUAAGGCUAGAUGUGAAGGAAAUUAUGCAUGUGCAUUGGCCUUGUUACAAAGAGGAGUUUUGAAGGAAGAGAUAGAUGGAGAAUGUUGGAUUUGUAUGCAACUCCACUCAGCGUGGAGAAAACACCCUGUAACAUCAGAUAUGGUAUGUCUUGAGAGAAACAGAUGUGAUGUACCACGCCAGAUGUCUAUAAUUCUACAGAUGACAAAUAAUCUAAAAACAAACAGAGCAUUGUUGUUUUCGCUCCAAGAGUAUAAUUGUUCCUAUAAAGGACUACCUUUUACAGGACCAGCCUUUCAUGUACUGUCACAUCUCGCAGAUUUGUGUAUUUGUUCAACCAAAGGAAAACAUUAUGUAGGAAUGUCAGAUUGUAAGACAGCAAUAACUCUGAUUCAAAAUGCUGGAAAUCGGCCUAAUUGUACUAUUAAGUAUGAUAACCAAUCUGUUGAGAAUUUUCACUGUCCGUUUUCUUAUCUUGAUAGCUCCCCAGGUAUGAUUUGGACCUGUGGGGGAAUGGCUUAUUACCAUUUGGAUGAAGGAGAAUGGCGUGGAUGUUGUUAUCCAGCUACACUCUCCACAGGAACUACCGUAUUGACACGUAAAGACCUUGAUACCUGUGAUAGUCAGGCACCAUCACACAGACAGAAAAGAGAGGUCGAUACAAUGGAUACAAAACAGCUACGCCCUGGACAACCCCAUGGGAAAAUGUGGGAUGGUCCAUAGCUAGUUUCUUUCCAGGGGUAGGAACCUCCAUUGCUUUAAACAAAAUAAAUGGUUUAGCUUCGCAAGUCUUGUCAUUGGAAAAUGAUACUACUCAUGCAUUAAGUUUAAUAACAGAGGAAAUGAAAAAGAUGAGAGAAGCAGUAGUUCAAAACAGACUUGUUCUCGACUUUUGACAUCGCAGCAGGGAGGAGUUUGUAAAAUGUUGGGAGUAUCUUGUUGUUUUUACAUUCCAGAUAACUCUGACAACGUUUCCAAUAUUGUGGACCAGAUGAGAGAAUCCAUUCCAGAGCCAAAGAAAGAUGAUUCCUGGCUGAACUGGCUCAGCGGCCUAUGGGGAGGAUGGGGAACUUGGAUUCUACACACUGUUGUACCUGUUGUUAUAUUCAUAGUGAUUCUUCUGCUAAUAGCACCCAGUGUGAUGCAAUGUAUUAGUACUUCUAUAAUGCGUUCUGUUACAGCGCUCACUACGGGAAAUACCUAUCAAGCAAUGCUGCACGUAUCCAAUCCAGUAGCAACCUUUGUUAGGGUUCCAGAGCAGUUGGAGAUGAAUGUGAUUGAAGCUGAGGAUGUGUACGAAAGUAUAAUCAAGAAACAUAAGAUAUGCCCAAGAUUCUUCACGGUUGUGUAAGACAUGUCUUCGACUGUCUUAAAGUGGCCAUUGUGAGAUUCUGCUCGUGUACGUGAACAUCUUGUGAUAAAGGACAUUGUGUGAUGAAAGUAUGAUGUAUUCCUUUUGAACCUUACUCUAUAUUCAUGGUAUUGCUCAAUGCAGUGUGUUAUGCUUGAUCAUCCAAAUAUCUGCCAGACAUUCCAUUGCUUCAUUUCCCUAUAAAAGUAACACCCCUUGUACAAUAAAGUUGAGCUUAGAAUGACCUGCACCACUUGUGUGACUCAUUCUUUGUUCCCGGGUACCUGCUCUUCUCUGCUCAGAUAACCCAACCUGAACCAAAAUAAUAUAGGUGAUCUCGAAGGCAAAAAUAUACAAUUUAUUCUUACAAUGGCCAAUGAGUUGAAUGAGAUUCAGACUAUUCGCGAGAUCAACCCCACUUUUCAGGUCGUCGUUGG